UGUGAGGGGCAUGUGAGGGCUGUCGCUGACUCAAAGUCGUGCACGCCCGAGUGUGUCCUCUCACAUAAUAAUCCAUAUCACCCUUUGUGCAUCGCCGCGUGAGCACCCUUUGGGAUCAUCUCGGAGGGGGCUCGCGUUUUCACACAAACCCCCCUUUUAAAAGUGUAGAAUGACCUCAUUUAUGCGCUAACACGCAAUCAAUACAACUUUCAACAACGGAUCUCUUGGCUCUCGCAUCGAUGAAGAACGCAGCGAAAUGCGAUACGUAAUGUGAAUUGCAGAAUUCAGUGAAUCAUCGAAUCUUUGAACGCACCUUGCGCCCCUUGGUAUUCCGAGGGGCACACCCGUUUGAGUGUCGUGAAAACCUCAACCUCCUNGGUUUCUUCUGGAGACCAAAGGCAGGCUUGGACUUUGGAGGCCCUUGCUGGAACCUCUCUCUUUUGAAGGCCAGCUCCUCUUAAACGAAUUAGCAGGGUCCUCUUUGCCGAUCCUCGACGUGUGAUAAGAUGUUUCCAUGUCUUGGUUUCUGGCUCUGUCACUUUUGGGACCCGCUUCUAACCGUCUUGACCUUGCAUCGAGACAAUGUUCGAGCAUGUCUCCCUUCUCGGGAAGCUCCCUCGACCCCACGAACCCUUGACCUCAAAUCGGGUGAGACUACCCGCUGAACUUAAGCAUAUCAAUAAGCGGAGGAAAAGAAACUAACAAGGAUUCCCCUAGUAACUGCGAGUGAAGCGGGAAAAGCUCAAAUUUAAAAUCUGGCGGUCUUUGGCCGUCCGAGUUGUAAUUUAGAGAAGCGUCUUCCGCGCUGGACCGUGUACAA
rnacentral:rRNA from 1 species